rnacentral:rRNA from 1 species
GACAGAGGUGCCGAGCGUUAGGCGGAAUCACUGGGCUUAAAGCGUGUGUAGGCGGAGGCCUAAAGUACCUUGUGAAAUCCCACGGGCUCAACCGUGGAACUGCUUGGUAUACUGGGUCUCUUGAGCCACCUAGGGGCAAGUGGAACAACGGUGGAGCGGUGAAAUGCGUAGAUAUCGUUUGGAACGCCAAUGGUGAAAACAACUUGCUGGGGGUGUGCCUGAACGCUGAGACACGAAAGCCCAGG